AAACAGCUCAUUGUACUUCCAUCACGGUGCGGCUGAACAACUUUUUCUUUAAAAGGUCAUGAGACAUCGCUACUUUCGCAUGAAAUCACUAGAGGGGAUCUUCACAAGUAGUUUUGACAUGAAUUUAAAAUAUUUUACCGGGCGCCUUUUGAAGAAAGUUGAUUUUAGCGGUUGUACUGUACCCAGGGUGUUGUUUUUUUUGCAAAAAGGUUUUUUUUUUAAUUUUUAAGGCCUGGCGGUAUGUUCCAUCUAGAAUUGACCU